rnacentral:rRNA from 1 species
AUACGUAGGUGACAAGCGUUAUCCGGAUUUACUGGGCGUAAAGGGCGUGUAGGCGGUCUUGCAAGUCAGAAGUGAAAUUCCUGAGCUCAACUCGGGCGCUGCUUCUGAAACUGCAGGACUUGAGUGCUGGAGGGGAUAGCGGAAUUCCUAGUGGAGCGGUAAAAUGCGCAGAGAUUAGGAAGAACACCGGUGGCGAAGGCGGCUAUCUGGCCCAAAACUGACGCUGAGGCGCGAAAGCGUGGGGAGCGAACAGGAUUAGAUACCCUGGUAGUCCACGCUGUAAACGAUGAGGACUAGAUGCUGGUGGGGAGACUCUUCAGUAUCGAAGCUAACGCGAUAAGUCUUCCGCCUGGGAAGUACGGCCGCAAGGUUGAAACUCAAAUGAAUUGACGGGG